GUGCGGCCACUCUAACCUCUCCUCUAGCACCACUGGCUUCUCUCCAGUCUCCAAAAUGUGUGUUUGACUCCCAUCUGACACCUUUAUCGGAGACAGUCACAACACUUCUUUGCAUAAUAAGCAGGCGUUCCCUCCCCAGCAGAAAGUUGGCACAACACAACACUCCUGACAGCUUUCAACAACCUACCCCGGCUUCUCUCUGGUCUUCUCUGCACUGUGUGUGAGGAGUCAGCAUCCAGUCCCUGAGACAGGACUCUAAGUUGGAGAUAUCCAAGAUAAAUCAGAAGAAGCCAUGAGAUCAUUAAUAAACUGUCUUUGUAAACUACCUCAA